UACGGGGGGGGCAAGCGUUGUUCGGAAUUACUGGGCGUAAAGGGCUUGUAGGUGGCCAACUAAGUCAGACGUGAAAUCCCUCGGCUUAACCGGGGAACUGCGUCUGAUACUGGAUGGCUUGAGUGUGGGAGAGGGAUGCGGAAUUCCAGGUGUAGCGGUGAAAUGCGUAGAUAUCUGGAGGAACACCGGUGGCGAAGGCGACUACCUGGCCUGUUUCUUGACGCUGAGGCGCGAAAGCUAGGGGAGCAAACGGG
rnacentral:rRNA from 1 species